rnacentral:rRNA from 1 species
AUACAGAGGGUGCGAGCGUUAAUCGGAAUUACUGGGCGUAAAGCGCGCGUAGGCGGCUUGGUCAGUCGGAUUGGAAAGCCCCGGGCUCAACCUGGGAAUGGCAUUCGAUACUGCCAGGCUAGAGUAUGGGAGAGGGAAGUGGAAUUUCCGGUGUAGCGGUGAAAUGCGUAGAUAUCGGAAAGAACACCAGUGGCGAAGGCGGCUUCCUGGCCCAAUACUGACGCUGAGGUGCGAAAGCGUGGGGAGCGAACAGGAUUAGAAACCCUGGUAGUCC